AGCGAACGCUGGCGGCAGGCUUAACACAUGCAAGUCGAACGCCCCGCAAGGGGAGUGGCAGACGGGUGAGUAACACGUGUGAACGUACCCUUUGGUUCGGAAUAACCUGGGGAAACUCAAGCUAAUACCGGAUAAGCCCUUAUGGGGAAAGGUUUACUGCCGAAGGAUCGGCCCGCGUCUGAUUAGCUAGUUGGUGAGGUAAUGGCUCACCAAGGCGACGAUCAGUAGCUGGUCUGAGAGGAUGAUCAGCCACACUGGGACUGAGGCACGGCCCAGACUCCUACGGGAGGCAGCAGUGGGGAAUAUUGGACAAUGGGGGCAACCCUGAUCCAGCCAUGCCGCGUGAGUGAUGAAGGCCUUAGGGUUGUAAAGCUCUUUUACCCGGGACGAUAAUGACUGUACCGGGAGAAUAAGCCCCGGCUAACUUCGUGCCAGCAGCCGCGGUAA
rnacentral:rRNA from 1 species